rnacentral:misc_RNA from 1 species
AUCUUUCGACAACGGAUCUCUUGGCUCUCGCAUCGAUGAAGAACGCAGCGAAAUGCAAUAAGUAAUGUGAAUUGCAGAUUUUCAGUGAAUCAUCGAAUCUUUGAACGCACCUUGCGCUCCUUGGUAUUCCGAGGAGCAUGGCUGUUUGAGUGUCAUUAAAUUCUCAACCCCACCGAUUUGUUUUGGGGGGAUUGGACUUGGAGCGUGCUGGCGAAGGUCGGCUCCUCUUUAAAUGCAUCAGUGGAGAGAAACUUGCCCCAGUGUGAUAAUCCUGUUGCGCUGUGGUGGGCGAAAGUCUGCUUACAACCGUCCUCCGGGACAUACGCCAUCUUUAUUUUGACCUCAAAUCAGGUAGGACUACCCGCUGAACUUAAGCAUAUCAAUAAGCGGAGGCU